AUAGAAUCAUUUAAAGAAGGUAUAAAGGGUAAAUAAGGGUGUAUUAUGGAGUAUAUAGGUGAAUAAGAUGGAUUUGGGGAGUAAAAACAGGUAAUAUAAUUAUUUAUAGAAGGUAUAUAGUGCAAAUAAUGGUGUAUAAUGGCGUAUGUAGGUGAAUAAUAUGGAUUUGGGGAGUAAAAACAGGUAAAAGAGUUAUUUAUAGAAAGUAUACAGGGCAAAUAAUGGUGUAUAUUAGCGUAUAAAAGUGAAUAAGAAGGAUUUGGGGAGUAAGAAUAUGUAAUAAAAUUAUUUUUAGAAGGUAUAAAGGGCAAUUAAUGGUGUAUAAUAGCGUAUAUAGGUGAAUGAAAUGGAUUUGGGGAGUAUUAACAGGUAAAAGAAAUAUUUAUAGAAGGUA